ACCCGUCUUGAAACACGGACCAAGGAGUCUAGCAUGUGCGCGAGUCAUUGGGAAUUCAUAAACCCAGAGGCGCAAUGAAAGUGAACAGUGCCGUUUUCGGACGGCCGCAGGGAAGAUGGCGAACGGCACGUCCGCUCGUCCGCAUUCCCGAGGCGUUUCGAGAAAUGCCAUCGUUGCGAUUAUCGAGACGCACUGAGAGCGCACACGCUGGGACCCGAAAGAUGGUGAACUAUGCCUGGUCAGGUCGAAGUCAGGGGAAACCCUGAUGGAGGACCGAAGCGAUUCUGACGUGCAAAUCGAUCGUCGGAACUGGGUAUAUGGGCGAAAGACUAAUCGAAC
rnacentral:rRNA from 1 species